UGGUUCUGGCAUCGAUGAAGAACGCAGCGAAACGCGAUAAGUAAUGUGAAUUGCAGAUUUCAGUGAAUCAUCGAAUCUUUGAACGCACAUUGCGCUCGUUAGUAUUCUGACGAGCAUGCCUGUUCGAGCGUCAUUUCAAACUCAGCAUAAGCUGGUGUUGGAGAUUUAUAUCUUAGGAUAUACUCUCCCAAUUACAGUGGCGGAUUCUCUUGAUUCCGGGUGUAGUAACAUACAAGCCUUGGAUAAUUGAGAUUCUUGCCGUAAACCUGACAGUUUCUGUCAUAUUACAUGUUUGACCUCGGAUCAGGUAGGAAUACCCGCUGA
rnacentral:misc_RNA from 1 species